rnacentral:rRNA from 1 species
AUUGAACGCUGGCGGCAUGCUUUACACAUGCAAGUCGAACGGUAACAGGCCUUCGGGUGCUGACGAGUGGCGAACGGGUGAGUAAUGCAUCGGAACGUACCCAGAGGUGGGGGAUAACGCAGCGAAAGCUGUGCUAAUACCGCAUGUGAUCUGAGGAUGAAAGCGGGGGACCGAGCAGCAAUGUUUGGCCUCGCGCCUUUGGAGCGGCCGAUGUCGGAUUAGCUAGUUGGUGGGGUAAAGGCCUACCAAGGCGACGAUCCGUAGCUGGUCUGAGAGGACGACCAGCGAAAGGGGAGCUAAAAAGCGGCCAAGACUCGUAGGGGAGGCAGCGGUGGGGAAUUUUGGGCAAGGGCGCAAGCCUGAUCCAGCAAUGCCGCGUGCGGGAAGAAGGCCUUCGGGUUGUAAACCGCUUUUGGCAGGAACGAAACGGUGUCCGCUAAUACCGGGCGCUAAUGACGGUACCUGCAGAAUAAGCACCGGCUAACUACGUG